rnacentral:lncRNA from 1 species
GCGCAGCUCAAUUAUUGCGCGGGCUGGGGGCGGGGCCUGCGGGGAAGGGACAGAGCCAAGCCCAGCCUUGAGCCAUCCUCGCCCCUGUGGCGGAAAUGGGAGGGUGCCUGGAGGAGUGGAGGGAUUGGAUUUACACCCUCUUUUCCCUCCGAAGCCUCCUUGGUGGGGGCGAAGAAAGACCAUCCAACCCUGCCAAAGGCAAAAGGAUUAAGGAUAAAUGAAAGCAAGAUAAUGUAGAAGAACUACUUAGCUGCUGGGUUUUUGGAGAUGAGUGAUUUUUUUUUGUAGGGAGAAAUUAUGAAACACAUUGAAAUGGACAAAAAAUUACUGAAUGUCUUCAAUGAAAAAACAGCCAUAGUUUGGCACACCGUCCCGGGCAUUCUGUUGCUAGAGGGGCUGUCCGCUUUUCUUUGUGGUGCUCUGCACAACUCGUUCCCUCUGGAAAGGCAUCAGGGGAGGCAUUUGGGAAAGCUGGCACUUUCCUUUUGCCCUUCACAUCACAUGAUUGAUUGGAAAAAUGGGAAAUGACAAGUGGCAUCAACAAGCGGGGCAAAGAGCUAGCCCAGUCAACCUACGAUGGGCCCCAUUCAAGGGGCACAGAGGGACAGAGGGACAGAAGGCUGAAGACUGGCUGGCUGGGGUGCAGCGAUGCUACAGAACGCCCCAUGGGACUUGGCAUGAAUAGGAAGCGUGGCCAGAUUAAGGACAUCCAAGAACUAGCUGCAGCAGGAAACUAGGCCAGGAGAGGCAAUGGGAAGGAACUACCUGGCAGGAACCUGGCAGAGCUGAAGCUCCCCAUAGAUUGAGGAAUGCAGCCGGCACCUGAGCUCAGCAAGGUAAGGAUGGGGCAGAGAAGGUUCUCAAGCAAUAUUCUGAAAUGAGCAUGAAUCGAUGAAUCAUUUUCCAGAGCUUGGGGGCUUUCCAGGGACAGUGAGCCCCAGGAAUCUGACACAUGGACUCUUACCAAGAGAAAUGGAAUUCCUGAGUGGGGACUGCACAGGAAGCAGUAACGCUUUUCAGCAUAAACUGUAGUCAUCCUGGCCAGGGCUGCAGGCAAGUGAGGGAGCAGCUGCGCCCGGGGUCUAGCAAAGCCCUGGUUCCUCCAGUGAGACCCAAAGCAUCUCCUGAAGGAAGGUCUCUUAAACGACCCUCAGAAUCGGAUUUCGCUCUGCAUCGAGUUUUCUGAAACUUGAAGAUCAAAUGCUGAGGUUACAAAUGCUUUCCAUUAUUUUCUUCAUGGUUUUCUAGAUUUUAAAACAUUGCUCUAGCCAGGGUGUUUUCCCAGCCCCCACGUCCAUGGCACCCCCAGUCUCUUCUCUGCACAUCUGGAUUUCCUACGGGGUUUCACUGGUGUCCAGGGCCGUCACCCAAAGGUGCCUGGCCUGGAGUAAGCAGAGGCUGGAACACAGCCUGAGCCUGGAACACAGCCUGAGCCCUGCUUGUCAAGUUCUGCUUCUGACCAGCGGAGGGGGGCCCAGACUGGGUGCCUAUUUCUAAUUCCUGGAAAGGUAUGUGCCCGCCGAGGCCCAGCUGGUGUCCCCCUCUAGAUGAAGUCACCUGCUGGGGCCACCACGACCCACCUGGGGCCCGCUGCCAGAUCCCACCAGCCUCUGCCGCCUUUGCCCGGUGCCACUGCCACUGCCCCAGGUCACCACCAUGAUGAUGAACCAGGCUCCCCAUGAGGUGCCAUAGCGGCACUAUGUUGUCUGGGGUCUUCCAAGCCACGUUGUUACAGGAAAAUGCUACACUUCCCAGAUGGUUUCAAAGUGCAAGCUGCAAUAACUCACAGAGCUUUGGUGAAGUCACUCAUUCUAUUUUAACUCAACUAUGGAACUAACUCUACUGUUGAAGGCAUGAGGGCGCCGGGCGGGGGAAUGAACCAGAGUGGUGGCCAUUCUGUGGGCCUUCCAACAUUCCUCAUCUUCGAGAUUUGUCAGUAAGGGAUUCUUACUGAUUCAGACUUGGGUCUGGGUCCUCUUUGUGAAGAUACACUUUGUGUCCUCAAAUUUGAAUGUUUUCCCAGAAAGCUCUUGUGUCCCCAAGACAGAUUUCUGGUGGCCUCCCCAUCACUGAGCCAGGCAGGCCCACACAUGCCUGCCCCAGGCUUAGGGUGGGGCGUGCUCCAUCAGAAAGAACAGGUCGAUCUUCUUUCCUUCUUCCCUUCCUUCCAGGUUACACAGCGACAUGCAAAGUCCUCCCCAGUAUGGACCACAUUGAAGCAGGUGUGAGGCAGACACCAGGGCUUCCCAGCCACCAGGCUUCUUUGGCCACUUUUUCGUCUUGUCCUGGUAGAAGGUGGCCAUGAAUCCAAGCACCCCUUCCAGCCUCACGAGAUGAAUUAAUUAGCCUAAACUGUUUGUGGUAAUUCCUUUCCCCUUGUGAGCAAUUUGGCACUUUUUGGCACCCAGUCUCUGGUGUGACCUCGCCAUCCUCAUUGGCACAGCCACCCUGGGAACAAAAGCCAUCCUCACGUGUCGCUGAGAUCCCAGCCAUGUGCACACUCAGCCCAGGUAGGCUGCAAGGGCAGAAGCCUCUGAGACCCACUGACUCUUAGCCUUAAUUCUUCCAAAUCAACUUUAAUUUGCCCCAAAUCCCCACACACCAGGACUGUGCCCAGGCUGUGGGGGUCUUACACAGCGUGAAAACUUCAGGAACUUCCUGCUGUCAUCAGUUACUGGUCUUCCUAUUUACCGUUUGGACAACCACAGACUGAAGGAAUCUGAAAUGGACCCGUCGGGUCAGUGGCUCUGAGCCACUGUGGGAAUGUCUGGCAAGGCUGGAAGCCCUGGGGUCUAAGGUCCAGGGGGCCAAGGUGCACCUGGGCUGGCCUUUUGUUCACAGGCUUCCCUGUGAUCUCCCUCCAGCCUGGGAGAAAAAAAAAAAUCUCUCUUCCAUGCUCCUCUCAAAGGCACCCCCUGCAGGACAUCCACACGGUCUCUCUGGGAGCUUGGGCUUUUAUUAAAGACACAGCAAGCCUGCCUUGCCAAAAUCCCUCAGACAAGGCCAUGCCAAGGGCUGGCGACCUCCUGGUAAUGUGAGAAGACACCAGAAGAACACGUACUCCUUUUUCAAUUAACUGUCCCCCCAUCUUUCCGAGGAAAUCUGACUCCUGUACCAAGCUUGCCUUCUAAACAGGUUGAGAGCCUAGAAGCCAAGGGACAGGGCUGUGAGGGGAAAGACUGGGCCCAGCCAGUGAGUGGGGGGCAGCCUGGGAGGAGCAUGUUGGCAGCAUGAGCCCAGCAGGGAAAGAAGGCCUCUGGCCUCUGUCCUGAAUGGCAGGAGGAAGUCACCGUCGGCCACCCUCACAGCCCAGGGUUGGGGCUUCUGGAGUGACUGAUAUCACCCCACGUAUGAAUCUGGCCCUGAUGCCAAGGACUGUGAUUCAACAAGGCAACUGGGGCCAUACACAGGGGUGCUGGGCCCUGUAGGAGACAGUGGCAAGGCCCUGCUCUCAGGCUCCUGGGUCCCAGUGGGGAGGCAGCCUCAUGCAUGGAUCCUUAGCCCGUGAGGAGCAGGAUGGCUGCAAUAAGGAGGAGGAAGCCUGAACAGCUGAUUCCUCCUUGGGCGGUGGGUGGGGUUGGCUCUGUGGGAUCUGAGAAGGCUUCUUGGGAGAGGUUGGGUUUAAGUUAGGACCUUGAGACAGGCAGGAGGAAGCCAUUCUAGAGAAAGGUGGCAGUUUCUGGGAGGGGUUUAUAAUUGAAGCUGGGGCAUCAGGGGUAUGUCAGAAGAAGGAGGGGCAGUGGAAAAUAAGCUUGUAAAAACAGCUUGAGGCCAAACCACAAAGAACACUGAAUGCCUGGGGAGGGGGAGUUUAGUUUGAAUUUUUAUUGUUUAUGCAUGGUCAUAGUUUAAGGAUCCCUGCCCCCAGUCUCAGAUUUUGCCUUUUCCUGCUUCCCAAGCUUUCAGCUGGUUCUUUUAGUAUUUACCUUCAUAGCUGUAAAUAUUAUGCUUAGAUUACUAUUUGAUUUUUCUACUUAUAAUGUCAUUCGUUGAGUUUCUGCUACAGAAGAUGAGAUGUUUAUGUAUAGUGAGAGCAGUAUACAUAAACAUACUUCCUAUCCCUUCAAAUAGAGUUACAUUAUAAUUUUAGUUCAUUAAUAGUUUGCAUUACAUUAUUAUUACUACAUCAACAAUACUCACAGCUGAAUCAUAUAGUAGACCAUGGUAACCUUUUGCUUGCUUAUUUUGUACUUUUCCUGAAAUUAAUCAUUACCUUGUUGUUUGCUUCUUUGUUUUAGUUUGUUUAAGUUUCUAAGUACUUAUUACUAAUGAAACCCCAAAGUUUUUGUCAAGUAUAGACAUCUCCUUUCAGGCUGUUCAGAAAGCCUGUGGUGUCCUACCAACUUCACCCUCCUGGGAAGCUCUUCUGAACCCUAGAGUCCUGUGCAUAACCAUUUGGGAAAAUCCCUUCAUCUCUCUCCUGGGUUAAGGUCCCCUUGCCUUCUUCCUCAUUUCACCCCUAUGUUUUGAUAGAGCACAUCCCCCAGUAGCUUUCUGAGAAAAGGUGCAUUUGGGGCCGUGAUACUUGAAUACCUGGAAAAGUCUUUUCUACCCUUGCAGUUGAUUGAUAGGUUGGCUGGGUAUAGGUUUUAGGUUAGAAAUCAUUUUCCUUUAGAAUUUUGAAAACACUGCUCCAUUGCUUUAAAAAAUGUUGCAACUGAGAAACAUAAAGCCAGCUUGAUUUCUGUCUCCUUUGUAUGUGAUGGGAUUUUUUUUUUCUGUUCUUCUGGGAGCUUUUACAUCUUCUCUUUGUCCCCAGUGUUGUGAAAUUUCACAAUAACCGACCUUGCUGUAGGUCUCUUCAUCCAUUGUGCUGGAAUGGGCCCUUUUAAUGUGGAAACUUGUCCCUCUUGUCUGGGACAUUUUCUUGAAAUAUUUCCUUGACAAUUUCUCUGACAGUAGGUAUUUUUUUCCACCCUUUGAAUAUAGAUGGAAAUACCAUUUUCCCCAGAAUGUAACCAGAUCUUGUCGUUCUAGAAUGUAGCCAGGGAAGCAAAGGCAUCCAGCUAAGUUUGCCUGUGGUAGGAGUCAGAGCGUAAGCUUACUUUGGAAAGGGAGUUCUGCGGUCCACUUUCUGCCUCCGCUGAAGGCCUUCAUGUCGAUGAAGUGCCUGGGAGGUCCUAAGUCUCAUCUUAUUAGAGAAACUGCUCCUGAACAGCCUAAGAUGUCACCCCAUGCAUCAGUUCAUAGUCUCUUACUCUGCUUGAUUUUACUUGCCACAUCAUAGGUGCUCAAUGCUCAUUGUUUGUCAAAUUGAAUUAUUUGGGACACAAUUUUCCCGUCUGUAAAAUGAAGGUGCUGGACUAGAAUUCUAAAAGUCCCAGUAGCUCCAAUGUCCAACAACUAUGCUUAUGUCACUGUGUUGGAAAAUGACUUAUAAAAGGGAAUGAAAUAGUCUCUGUAAAUAUGUUUCUCUGCCCACAUUUAAUGAAUUGUCUACCACAAUGAGGGGGAGUCCUAUUU